rnacentral:rRNA from 1 species
CCUACGGGUGGCAGCAGUGAGGAAUAUUGCUCAAUGGGCGAGAGCCUGAACCAGCCAAGUCGCGUGAAGGAUGAAGGAUCUAUGGUUUGUAAACUUCUUUUAUAUGGGAGUAAAGUGAGGAACGUGUUCCUGUUUGUAUGUACCAUAUGAAUAAGCAUCGGCUAACUCCGGGCCAGCAGCCGCGGUAAUACGGAGGAUGCGAGAGUUAUCCUGAUUUAUUGGGUUUAAAGGGAGCGUAGGUGGGUAAUUAAGUCAGUGGUGAAAGUUUGUGGCUCAACCAUAAGAUUGCCGUUGAUACUGGUUAGCUUGAGUAUAUUUGAGGUAGGCGGAAUGCGUGGUGUAGCGGUGAAAUGCAUAGAUAUCACGAAGAACUCCGAUUGCGAAGGCAGCUUACUAAACUAUAACUGACGCUGAAGCACGAGAGCGUGGGGAGCAAACAGGAUUAGAUACCCUUGUAGUC